AAACUGAAGAGUUUGAUCCUGGCUCAGAUUGAACGCUAGCGGGAUGCUUUACACAUGCAAGUCGAACGGCAGCACGAGAGAGCUUGCUCUCUUGGUGGCGAGUGGCGGACGGGUGAGUAAUAUAUCGGAACGUGCCCAGUAGCGGGGGAUAACUACUCGAAAGAGUGGCUAAUACCGCAUACGCCCUACGGGGGAAAGGGGGGGAUCGCAAGACCUCUCACUAUUGGAGCGGCCGAUAUCGGAUUAGCUAGUUGGUGGGGUAAAGGCUCACCAAGGCAACGAUCCGUAGCUGGUUUGAGAGGACGACCAGCCACACUGGGACUGAGACACGGCCCAGACUCCUACGGGAGGCAGCAGUGGGGAAUUUUGGACAAUGGGGGAAACCCUGAUCCAGCCAUCCCGCGUGUAUGAUGAAGGCCUUCGGGUUGUAAAGUACUUUUGGCAGAGAAGAAAAGGCAUCCCCUAAUACGGGAUGCUGCUGACGGUAUCUGCAGAAUAAGCACCGGCUAACUACGUGCCAGCAGCCGCGGUAAUACGUAGGGUGCAAGCGUUAAUCGGAAUUACUGGGCGUAAAGCGUGUGUAGGCGGUUCGGAAAGAAAGAUGUGAAAUCCCAGGGCUCAACCUUGGAACUGCAUUUUUAACUGCCGAGCUAGAGUAUGUCAGAGGGGGGUAGAAUUCCACGUGUAGCAGUGAAAUGCGUAGAUAUGUGGAGGAAUACCGAUGGCGAAGGCAGCCCCCUGGGAUAAUACUGACGCUCAGACACGAAAGCGUGGGGAGCAAACAGGAUUAGAUACCCUGGUAGUCCACGCCCUAAACGAUGUCAACUAGCUGUUGGGGCCGUUAGGCCUUAGUAGCGCAGCUAACGCGUGAAGUUGACCGCCUGGGGAGUACGGUCGCAAGAUUAAAACUCAAAGGAAUUGACGGGGACCCGCACAAGCGGUGGAUGAUGUGGAUUAAUUCGAUGCAACGCGAAAAACCUUACCUACCCUUGACAUGUCUGGAAUGCCGAAGAGAUUUGGCAGUGCUCGCAAGAGAACCGGAACACAGGUGCUGCAUGGCUGUCGUCAGCUCGUGUCGUGAGAUGUUGGGUUAAGUCCCGCAACGAGCGCAACCCUUGUCAUUAGUUGCUACGCAAGAGCACUCUAAUGAGACUGCCGGUGACAAACCGGAGGAAGGUGGGGAUGACGUCAAGUCCUCAUGGCCCUUAUGGGUAGGGCUUCACACGUCAUACAAUGGUCGGGACAGAGGGUCGCCAACCCGCGAGGGGGAGCCAAUCUCAGAAACCCGAUCGUAGUCCGGAUCGCAGUCUGCAACUCGACUGCGUGAAGUCGGAAUCGCUAGUAAUCGCGGAUCAGAAUGUCGCGGUGAAUACGUUCCCGGGUCUUGUACACACCGCCCGUCACACCAUGGGAGUGGGUUUCACCAGAAGUAGGUAGCCUAACCGUAAGGAGGGCGCUUACCACGGUGGGAUUCAUGACUGGGGUGAAGUCGUAACAAGGUAGCCGUAUCGGAAGGUGCGGCUGGAUCACCUCCUUU
rnacentral:rRNA from 1 species